ensembl:misc_RNA Y_RNA Y RNA
GGCUGGUCCAACUGUACUGGUUUUUACAACUAACCGAUCACAACAAGUUACAGAUUUCUUUGUUCCUUCUCCACUCGCACUGCUUCACUUGACUUAAA